rnacentral:tRNA from 1 species
GGAGGGUUAGCUCCGCUGGGAGAGCAAUCGGCUGUUAACCGAUCGGUCGCAAGUUCGAAUCUUGCCUGCG